GUGCCAGCCGCCGCGGUAAUACGGAGGAUGCAAGCGUUAUCCGGAUUGAUUGGGCGUAAAGCGUCUGUAGGUGGUUACGCUAGUCGGCUGUUAAAGAUCAGGGCUGAACCCUGAGCAAGCAGUCGAAACUGCGUGGCUGGAGUACGGUAGGGGCAGAGGGAAUUCCCGGUGUAGCGGUGAAAUGCGUAGAUAUCGGGAAGAACACCAAAGGCGAAAGCGCUCUGCUGGGCCGAAACUGACACUGAGAGACGAAAGCUAGGGGAGCGAAUGGGAUUAGAUACCCCCGUAGUCC
rnacentral:rRNA from 1 species